ACGGGAGGCAGCAGUGGGGGAUAUUGCACAGUGGGGGAAACCCUGAUGCAGCGACGCCGCGUGAGCGAAGAAGUAUUUCGGUAUGUAAAGCUCUAUCAGCAGGGAAGAAAAUGACGGUACCUGACUAAGAAGCUCCGGCUAAAUACGUGCCAGCAGCCGCGGUAAUACGUAUGGAGCAAGCGUUAUCCGGAUUUACUGGGUGUAAAGGGAGCGUAGACGGCGUGGCAAGUCUGAUGUGAAAGCUAUGGGCUCAACCCAUAAACUGCAUUGGAAACUGUCAUGCUAGAGUGUCGGAGAGGUAAGCGGAAUUCCUAGUGUAGCGGUGAAAUGCGUAGAUAUUAGGAGGAACACCAGUGGCGAAGGCGGCUUACUGGACGAUAACUGACGUUGAGGCUCGAAAGCGUGGGGAGCGAACAGGAUUAGAUACCCUGGUA
rnacentral:rRNA from 1 species